rnacentral:sRNA from 1 species
GUUUGCACUUGUCGGGGAAGGGUGAGAACCUUCGACUAAGGUUCGACUCGAGCGAAAGCGAGAGAACGUUGGCAACGCCAACGGCCCGAAGGGUGAGGAGCGAAGCGACGAAUAAUCCUUCCCCCACCACCA